rfam:Canis lupus familiaris chromosome 4, whole genome shotgun sequence.
GCCUGGGUGGCUCAGUGGUUGAGUAUCUGCCUUCAGCUCAGGUCAUGAUCCCGGGGUCCUGGGUUCGAGUCCCACAUCAGGUU